rnacentral:rRNA from 1 species
CUGACGUAGACGCUAUUCCCUGAGAUUAACCCAUGCAUAUCAUUGAAGUUUUAUAAACGGAAAGAUGGACAGCUCAGUAAUACUCACUUAAUUUUAUGUAUUUUGUAUAUAACUACGUUAAAGUGUAGAUAAAAGAAAUACAGUAAGAGUGAGACCUAUCAGCUAGUUGUUAAGGUAAUGGCUUAACAAGGCAUUUACGGGUAACGGUAUUACUUUGUAAUAUUCCGGAGAAGGAGCCUGAGAGAUUGCUACUAAGUCUAAGGAUUGCAGCAGGGGCGAAACUUGACCUAUGGAUAUAUUCUGAGGCAGUUAUGGGAAGUAAUAAUAAUUGUUUCAUAUUGUAAAAAGAUAUGAGUAGAUUAAUUGGAGGGCAAAUCAAGUGCCAGCAGCCGCGGUAAUACUUGUUCCAAGAGUGUGUAUGAUGAUUGAUGCAGUUAAAAAGUCCGUAGUUUAUUAUUAAGAAGCAAUAUGAGGUGUACUGUAUAGUUGGGAGAGAGAUGAAAUGUGAAGACCCUGACUGGACGAACAGAAGCGAAAGCUGUACACUUGUAUGUAUUUAUUGAACAAGGACGUAAGCUGGAGGAUCAAAGAUGAUUAGAUACCAUUGUAGUUCCAGCAGUAAACUAUGCCAACUAUGUGAUAUGUUUUAUAUGUAUUACAUUAUAGAAAUUAGAGUUUUUUGGCUCUGGGGAUAGUAUGAUCGCAAGAUUGAAAAUUAAAGAAAUUGACGGAAGAAUACCACAAGGAGUGGAUUGUGCGGCUUAAUUUGACUCAACGCGAGGGAACUUACCAAUAUUUUAUUAUCUUGAGAGAAUUAUUAAUUUGAGGAUGAUAAUAGUGGUGCAUGGCCGUUUUCAAUGGAUGCUGUGAAGUUUUUGAUUAAUUUCAACAAGACGUGAGACCCUUUUUU